GAUGAACGCUGGCGGCGUGCCUAAUACAUGCAAGUCGAGCGAACAGACGAGGAGCUUGCUCCUCUGACGUUAGCGGCGGACGGGAGAGUAACACGUGGAACACCUACCUAUAAGACUGGGAUAACUUCGGGAAACCGGAGCUAAUACCGGAUGAUAUAUUGAACCGCAUGGUUCAAUAGUAAAAUACGGUUUUGCUGUCACUUCUAGAUGGAUCCAAGCCGCAUUAGCUAGUAGGUAAGGUAACGGCUUACCAAGGCAACGAUGCGUAGCCGACCUCGGAGGGUGAUCGCCCACACUAGAACUGAGACAGCGUCCAGACGCCUGCGGGAGGCAGCAGUAGGGAAUCUUCCGCAAUGGGCGAAAGCCUGGCGGAGCAACGCCGCGUGAGUGAUGAAGGUCUUCCGAUCGUAAAACUCUGUUAUUAGGGAAGAACAAAUUUGUAAGUAACUAUGCACGUCGUGACGGUACCUAAUCAGAAAGCCACGGCUAACUACGUG
rnacentral:rRNA from 1 species